CGCUGGCGGCGUGCUUAACACAUGCAAGUCGAGCGGAGAUUGCAUUUAUGUAAUCUUAGCGGCGGACGGGUGAGUAACGCGUAGGCAACCUGCCUUGCACAGAGGGAUAGCACCGGGAAACUGGUGCUAAUACCACAUGAUAUCAUAACAAGGCAUCUUGAAAUGAUCAAAGGAUAAAUCCGGUGCAAGAUGGGCCUGCGUCCGAUUAGUUAGUUGGUGAGGUAACGGCUCACCAAGGCGACGAUCGGUAGCCGAACUGAGAGGUUGAUCGGCCACAUUGGGACUGAGACACGGCCCAGACUCCUACGGGAGGCAGCAGUGGGGAAUAUUGCGCAAUGGGGGGAACCCUGACGCAGCAACGCCGCGUGAAGGAAGAAGGCCUUCGGGUUGUAAACUUUUUUGAUUGGGGAAGAAAAAAAUGACGGUACCCAAGGAACAAGCCACGGCUAACUACGUGCCAGCAGCCGCGGUAAUACGUAGGUGGCGAGCGUUGUCCGGAAUUACUGGGUGUAAAGGGCGUGUAGGCGGGAUUGUAAGUCAGAUGUGAAAUUCCAGGGCUUAACUCUGGAGGUGCAUCUGAAACUAUAAUUCUUGAGUGCUGGAGAGGAAAGCGGAAUUCCUAGUGUAGCGGUGAAAUGCGUAGAUAUUAGGAAGAACACCAGUGGCGAAGGCGGCUUUCUGGACAGUAACUGACGCUGAGGCGCGAAAGCGUGGGGAGCAAACAGGAUUAGAUACCCUGGUAGUCCACGCUGUAAACGAUGGAUACUAGGUGUAGGAGGUAUCGACCCCUUCUGUGCCGGAGUUAACACAAUAAGUAUCCCACCUGGGGAGUACGGCCGCAAGGCUGAAACUCAAAGGAAUUGACGGGGGCCCGCACAAGCAGUGGAGUAUGUGGUUUAAUUCGAAGCAACGCGAAGAACCUUACCAGGGCUUGACAUCCCUCGGAUAACAUAGAGAUAUGUUAGUCCUUCGGGACGAGGAGACAGGUGGUGCAUGGUUGUCGUCAGCUCGUGUCGUGAGAUGUUGGGUUAAGUCCCGCAAUGAGCGCAACCCCUAUUGUUAGUUGCCAUCAUUAAGUUGGGCACUCUAACGAGACUGCCGGUGACAAAUCGGAGGAAGGUGGGGACGACGUCAAAUCAUCAUGCCCCUUAUGUCCUGGGCUACACACGUACUACAAUGGUCACUACAAAGGGAAGCAAUACCGCAAGGAGGAGCAAAUCCCCAAAGGUGAUCUCAGUUCGGAUUGUGGGCUGAAACCCGCCCACAUGAAGUCGGAAUUGCUAGUAAUGGCAGGUCAGCAUACUGUCGUGAAUACGUUCCCGGGCCUUGUACACACCGCCCGUCACACCAUGAGAGUUUGCAACACCC
rnacentral:rRNA from 1 species